UACGGGGGGGGGCAAGCGUUGUUCGGAAUUACUGGGCGUAAAGGGCUCGUAGGUGGCCAACUAAGUCAGACGUGAAAUCCCUCGGCUUAACCGGGGAACUGCGUCUGAUACUGGAUGGCUUGAGGUUGGGAGAGGGAUGCGGAAUUCCAGGUGUAGCGGUGAAAUGCGUAGAUAUCUGGAGGAACACCGGUGGCGAAGGCGGCAUCCUGGACCAAUUCUGACGCUGAGGAGCGAAAGCCAGGGGAGCAAACGGGG
rnacentral:rRNA from 1 species